rnacentral:rRNA from 1 species
GACGAACGCUGGCGGCGUGCCUAAUACAUGCAAGUUGAGCGAUGAAGAUUGGUGCUUGCACCAAUUUGAAGAGCAGCGAACGGGUGAGUAACGCGUGGGGAAUCUGCCUUUGAGCGGGGGACAACAUUUGGAAACGAAUGCUAAUACCGCAUAACAACUUUAAACAUAAGUUUUAAGUUUGAAAGAUGCAAUUGCAUCACUCAAAGAUGAUCCCGCGUUGUAUUAGCUAGUUGGUGAGGUAAAGGCUCACCAAGGCGAUGAUACAUAGCCGACCUGAGAGGGUGAUCGGCCACAUUGGGACUGAGACACGGCCCAAACUCCUACGGGAGGCAGCAGUAGGGAAUCUUCGGCAAGGGACGAAAGUCUGACCGAGCAACGCCGCGUGAGUGAAGAAGGUUUUCGGAUCGUAAAACUCUGUUGGUAGAGAAGAACGUUGGUGAGAGUGGAAAGCUCAUCAAGUGACGGUAACUACCCAGAAAGGGACGGCUAACUACGUG